rnacentral:rRNA from 1 species
UCAGGGCUUUGGAGGGCACGGCUUCCCCUCAAAAUCAAGGUUUUCUUUUGGCAACUGUGUUGUGACAAGUUGCCCACUUCUGUGAACAUCGCCAAACGCAACGGGCCGUCCAACGGGGCAUGCACGGUGUGCGGGGAGCCCAAAACAGCUAACCACGUGUUCUUCCAAUGCCACUUGGCCCGGUUUGCGUGGAGUGCGGUCCGGGAGGCCGCUGGCCGGAAUUGGGAUCCUAGGUCAUGUUCUGAGUUAUGCGCUCUCCUGUCGUUGGUCUCUGGUUCCGCUAGACGUGUCAUGUGGUGCUGUGUGGGGGCAUUACUUUGGGCACUUUGGCGCAUUAGGAACAAACUUACGAUCGAGGGCGUCUUUCCCUCACAUCCUGCUGAUGUUAUCUUGAAAUGUGCUAUCUUUUUGCAGCAAUGGGCAUCGCUGGGAAGGCGUCAAGACGCUGAUCUUCUGCAGCUCGCUCUGGCCCGUCUCCGUCAGGUCUACACUUUGGUUAGAGCUCCUGCGCCGCAACCGUAG